GUGCUCACUUCGGUAGCACAUAUACAAGAACUAGAAUGAUGCAGAGAUUAGCAUGGCUCCAGCGGAAGGAUGGCAUGCCAAUUCGUGAAGCGUUUCUUACUUUU
rnacentral:snRNA from 1 species